rnacentral:rRNA from 1 species
CAAUAGCGUAUGCUAAUGUUGUUGCAGUUAAAAGGCUCGUAGUUGAAUUUCUGGUAGGGCUCGACCCGGCGUGCGCUCUUGCGCUCUGACUGUGCGUCGAGCCUGGCCAUCUUGGCGCCUCGCCUCGGUGGGGCGCCUCGUUCACUGUAAACAAAUUGGAGUGUUUAAAGCAGCAAGUAUUGCGGAACACAUUAGUAUGGAAUGAUAAGAUAGGACUUUGGGUCUAUUUUGUUGGUUUGCAACUCAAAGUAAUGGUUAACAGGAACAAUUGGGGGUAUUCGUAUUAAACUGUCAGAGGUGAAAUUCUUGGAUUUUUUUAAGACGAACUACUGCGAAAGCAUUUACCAAAGAUGUUUUCAUUA